rnacentral:misc_RNA from 1 species
UUGGGAUUAGAAUUAGGGUUUGGGUUAAUAUUUUGUGCUUGAAAUUAUGAGAGGGGCAUUUGUUUGAGGGAGGAAGAAAUUUUCUUCGUUGUCAAAACAGAAUAUGAGGUCUAGAUGAGCUAAACUAUUUACCUCUAGUAUUAUUAUCUGUAGAUGUAAAUAUGGAUCACAAAAUUCUCAAGUCUGUUCUUAGGUGAACAGAUAUGAAACCAUUUUAUAUUCAAGCUUUGUCAAGUCUGUCCUUUGUUGCUUCUUUUCCCGUGCGAAUUCUCUUGGGGGAGCAAAUACUUAGUUUCACAUCAUUUCGUACAGAGGCCCGUGCUGUUGUUUUUUGGCGAUCAUUUUAUGGGAGCAUGGAGAAAUUAA